rnacentral:piRNA from 1 species
UCUGUACUUGGAGCUUCUGCUGAAGAGUC